rnacentral:lncRNA from 1 species
GGAGGUGGAGGUGCUGAAGCAGUAGGUCCUUUAGCACCUAAAGGUGGUGGCGGAGGUGGUGCACCACCCGGUGGUCUAGGUGGAGCACGAGCUCCUGGUGGUGGAGGCGGAGCUGGAGCUCCACGCAGUGGAGGAGGUGGGGGAGGUGGCCCCCCACCAGCAGGAGGAGGUGGAGGUGGUGGGGGAGGUGGCCCCCCACCAGCAGGAGGAGGUGGAGGUGGUGGGGCUCCACGCAUUGGAGGAGGUGGCGGUGGUGGUGCCCCACGCUCUGGAGGAGGUGGCGGAGGAGGGGCACCGUGUGUUGGUGGAGGUGGUGGUGGAGGCGGUAUUCCAUGAAUUAAGGGAGGCGGUGGAGUUGGAGCUCUAAUUGUUGGUGGUGGAGGUGGAGGUGGAGUUCCUUGUAAAGGGGGUGGGGGUGGAGCUCUAUGCAUAGGAGGUGGUGGAGAAGGAGCUCCAAGCUUGGGAGGGGAGGGGAGGGGGAGGUG